CCUACGGGAGGCAGCAGUGGGGGAUAUUGCACAAUGGGGGGAACCCUGAUGCAGCGACGCCGCGUGUGGGAAGACGGUCCUCUGGAUUGUAAACCACUGUCUCCAGGGACGAAAAUGCCGUUACCUGACUAUGAAGCCCGGGCCAAUUACUUGCCAGCAGCCCCGGUAAAACGUAGGGGGCACGCGUUAUCCGGAUUUACUGGGCGUAAAGGGAGCGUAGGCGGUUUAGCAAGUCAGAAGUGAAAGCCCGGGGCUCAACUCCGGGACUGCUUUUGAAACUGUUGAACUAGAUUGCAGGAGAGGUAAGUGGAAUUCCUGGUGUAGCGGUGAAAUGCGUAGAUAUUAGGAGGAACACCAGUGGCGAAGGCGGCUUACUGGACUGUAAAUGACGCUGAGGCUCGAAAGCGUGGGGAGCAAACAGGAUUAGAUACCCCUGUAGUC
rnacentral:rRNA from 1 species